rnacentral:rRNA from 1 species
GAUGAACGCUGGCGGCGUGCCUAAUACAUGCAAGUCGAGCGAACAGACGAGGAGCUUGCUCCUCUGACGUUAGCGGCGGGCGGGUGAGUAACACGUGGAUAACCUACCUAUAAGACUGGGAUAACUUCGGGAAACCGGAGCUAAUACCGGAUAAUAUCUUGAACCGCAUGGUUCAAUAGUGAAAGACGGUUUUGCUGUCACUUAUAGAUGGAUCCGCGCCGCAUUAGCUAGUUGGUAAGGUAACGGCUUACCAAGGCAACGAUGCGUAGCCGACCUGAGAGGGUGGUCGGCCACACUGGAACUGAAACACGGUCCAGACUCCUACGGGAGGCAGCAGUAGGGAAUCUUCCGCAAAGGGCGAAAGCCUGACGGAGCAACGCCGCGUGAGUGAUGAAGGUCUUCGGAUCGGAAAACUCUGUUAUUAGGGAAGAACAAAUGUGUAAGUAACUAUGCACGUCUUGACGGUACCUAAUCAGAAAGCCACGGCUAACUACGUG